rnacentral:rRNA from 1 species
CAACUUUCAACAACGGAUCUCUUGGCUCUCGCAUCGAUGAAGAACGCAGCGAAAUGCGAUACGUAAUGUGAAUUGCAGAAUUCAGUGAAUCAUCGAAUCUUUGAACGCACCUUGCGCCCCUUGGUAUUCCGAGGGGCACACCCGUUUGAGUGUCGUGAAAAUCUCAACCUUCUCGGUU